rnacentral:snoRNA from 1 species
CCCCUCGCAAGGUGCCACCUGGAGAGUUUCCAGUACUCUACCAGUCUCAACUACGGGAGGGAGUGUCAAGCAGAGGCCUGUCCAUUCCAUUCCUAGCUUGGGCAGUGGCUAGUGAGUGGAAGGCAGUCUGCUACAAGU